rnacentral:lncRNA from 1 species
UACCAGGCCGUAGAAUGGGGUCCUGGUCUUUCAUUUCCGUGCCAGGCCGUAGAAUGGGGUCCUGGUCUUUCCUCAGGGACUAAUUGGGUCAUCCAACAUUCACCCACAUCAACAAUAAAGAAUGCAAUGCAACAUAGUCGUGAAAUCUAAUGCAAUCAUCCUAUUGCAUACUCGUGAUGCAUGAAACAUGAUAAACAUUUAAUUUCUCAAUUUAAA